rnacentral:rRNA from 1 species
GAUGAACGCUGGCGGCGUGCCUAAUACAUGCAAGUCGAGCGAACAGACGAGGAGCUUGCUCCUCUGACGUUAGCGGCGGACGGGUGAGUAACACGUGGAUAACCUACCUAUAAGACUGGGAUAACUUCGGGAAACCGGAGCUAAUACCGGAUAAUAUAUUGAACCGCAUGGUUCAAUAGUGAAAGACGGUUUUGCUGUCACUUAUAGAUGGAUCCGCGCCGCAUUAGCUAGUUGGUAAGGUAACGGCUUACCAAGGCAACGAUGCGUAGCCGACCUGAGAGGAGGAGAGGCAAAACGGGAACUGAGACACGGCCAAAACCACGAGGGGAGGAAGAAGGAGGGAAUAGUCGGAAAGGGGAGAAAGCCUGACGGAGCAACGCCGGGUGGGUGAGGAAGGUAUUAGGAUAGAAAAACUGUUUUAUGAGGGAAAAAAAAAUGUGAAAGAAAAAAUGCACGUUGUGACGGUACAAAAAAAAAAAGCAACGGAAAACUCCGUG